rnacentral:rRNA from 1 species
CGUGAAAUUGUUGAAAGGGAAGCGUUUAUGACCAGACUUGGACUUGGUUAAUCAUCUGGGGUCCUCCCCAGUGCACUUUUCCAGUUCAGGCCAGCAUCAGUUUUCCCCGGGGGAUAAAGGCGGCGGGAAUGUGGCUCUCUUCGGGGAGUGUUAUAGCCCGCCGUGCAAUACCCUGGGGGGGACUGAGGUUCGCGCAUCUGCAAGGAUGCUGGCGUAAUGGUCAUCAACGACCCGUCUUGAAACAUGGA